GGGCAUGUGGCGUAGUUGGUAGCGCGUUCGCUUAGCAUGCGAAAGGUCUCCGGUUCGACUCCGGACUCGUCCA